UCCAGACUCCUACGGGAGGCAGCAGUGAGGAAUAUUGGUCAAUGGGCGGGAGCCUGAACCAGCCAUGCCGCGUGAAGGCGAGUGCCCUACGGGCGUUAAACUUCUUUUGUGCGGGAGCAAUAAGGGCCACGUGUGGCCCGAUGAGAGUACCGCACGAAUAAGCAUCGGCUAACUCCGUGCCAGCAGCCGCGGUAAUACGUAGGGGGCAAGCGUUAUCCGGAUUUACUGGGUGUAAAGGGAGCGUAGACGGCCAGACAAGUCUGAAGUGAAAAUCCAGCGCUUAACGUUGGAAGUGCUUUGGAAACUGCCGGGCUAGAGUGCAGGAGGGGCAGGCGGAAUUCCUAGUGUAGCGGUGAAAUGCGUAGAUAUUAGGAGGAACACCAGUGGCGAAGGCGGCCUGCUGGACUGCAACUGACGUUGAGGCUCGAAGGCGUGGGGAGCAAACAGGAUUAGAUACCCGAGUA
rnacentral:rRNA from 1 species